rnacentral:snRNA from 1 species
AUACGAACCGUGAAAGCGUG